rnacentral:rRNA from 1 species
ACGCUUAGGCGUGUGACUGCGUACCUUUUGUAUAAUGGGUCAGCGACUUAUAUUCUGUAGCAAGGUUAACCGAAUAGGGGAGCCGAAGGGAAACCGAGUCUUAACUGGGCGUUAAGUUGCAGGGUAUAGACCCGAAACCCGGUGAUCUAGCCAUGGGCAGGUUGAAGGUUGGGUAACACUAACUGGAGGACCGAACCGACUAAUGUUGAAAAAUUAGCGGAUGACUUGUGGCUGGGGGUGAAAGGCCAAUCAAACCGGGAGAUAGCUGGUUCUCCCCGAAAGCUAUUUAGGUAGCGCCUCGUGAAUUCAUCUCCGGGGGUAGAGCACUGUUUCGGCAAGGGGGUCAUCCCGACUUACCAACCCGAUGCAAACUGCGAAUACCGGAGAAUGUUAUCACGGGAGACACACGGCGGGUGCUAACGUCCGUCGUGAAGAGGGAAACAACCCAGACCGCCAGCUAAGGUCCCAAAGUCAUGGUUAAGUGGGAAACGAUGUGGGAAGGCCCAGACAGCCAGGAUGUUGGCUUAGAAGCAGCCAUCAUUUAAAGAAAGCGUAAUAGCUCACUGGUCGAGUCGGCCUGCGCGGAAGAUGUAACGGGGCUAAACCAUGCACCGAAGCUGCGGCAGCGACGCUUAUGCGUUGUUGGGUAGGGGAGCGUUCUGUAAGCCUGCGAAGGUGUGCUGUGAGGCAUGCUGGAGGUAUCAGAAGUGCGAAUGCUGACAUAAGUAACGAUAAAGCGGGUGAAAAGCCCGCUCGCCGGAAGACCAAGGGUUCCUGUCCAACGUUAAUCGGGGCAGGGUGAGUCGACCCCUAAGGCGAGGCCGAAAGGCGUAGUCGAUGGGAAACAGGUUAAUAUUCCUGUACUUGGUGUUACUGCGAAGGGGGGACGGAGAAGGCUAUGUUGGCCGGGCGACGGUUGUCCCGGUUUAAGCGUGUAGGCUGGUUUUCCAGGCAAAUCCGGAAAAUCAAGGCUGAGGCGUGAUGACGAGGCACUACGGUGCUGAAGCAACAAAUGCCCUGCUUCCAGGAAAAGCCUCUAAGCAUCAGGUAACAUCAAAUCGUACCCCAAACCGACACAGGUGGUCAGGUAGAGAAUACCAAGGCGCUUGAGAGAACUCGGGUGAAGGAACUAGGCAAAAUGGUGCCGUAACUUCGGGAGAAGGCACGCUGAUAUGUAGGUGAAGUCCCUUGCGGAUGGAGCUGAAAUCAGUCGAAGAUACCAGCUGGCUGCAACUGUUUAUUAAAAACACAGCACUGUGCAAACACGAAAGUGGACGUAUACGGUGUGACGCCUGCCCGGUGCCGGAAGGUUAAUUGAUGGGGUCAGCGCAAGCGAAGCUCUUGAUCGAAGCCCCGGUAAACGGCGGCCGUAACUAUAACGGUCCUAAGGUAGCGAAAUUCCUUGUCGGGUAAGUUCCGACCUGCACGAAUGGCGUAAUGAUGGCCAGGCUGUCUCCACCCGAGACUCAGUGAAAUUGAACUCGCUGUGAAGAUGCAGUGUACCCGCGGCAAGACGGAAAGACCCCGUGAACCUUUACUAUAGCUUGACACUGAACAUUGAGCCUUGAUGUGUAGGAUAGGUGGGAGGCUUUGAAGUGUGGACGCCAGUCUGCAUGGAGCCGGCCUUGAAAUACCACCCUUUAAUGUUUGAUGUUCUAACGUGGACCCGUGAUCCGGGUUGCGGACAGUGUCUGGUGGGUAGUUUGACUGGGGCGGUCUCCUCCUAAAGAGUAACGGAGGAGCACGAAGGUUGGCUAAUCCUGGUCGGACAUCAGGAGGUUAGUGCAAUGGCAUAAGCCAGCUUGACUGCGAGCGUGACGGCGCGAGCAGGUGCGAAAGCAGGUCAUAGUGAUCCGGUGGUUCUGAAUGGAAGGGCCAUCGCUCAACGGAUAAAAGGUACUCCGGGGAUAACAGGCUGAUACCGCCCAAGAGUUCAUAUCGACGGCGGUGUUUGGCACCUCGAUGUCGGCUCAUCACAUCCUGGGGCUGAAGUAGGUCCCAAGGGUAUGGCUGUUCGCCAUUUAAAGUGGUACGCGAGCUGGGUUUAGAACGUCGUGAGACAGUUCGGUCCCUAUCUGCCGUGGGCGCUGGAGAACUGAGGGGGGCUGCUCCUAGUACGAGAGGACCGGAGUGGACGCAUCACUGGUGUUCGGGUUGUCAUGCCAAUGGCACUGCCCGGUAGCUAAAUGCGGAAGAGAUAAGUGCUGAAAGCAUCUAAGCACGAAACUUGCCCCGAGAUGAGUUCUCCCUGACCCUUUAAGGGUCCUGAAGGAACGUUGAAGACGACGACGUUGAUAGGCCGGGUGUGUAAGCGCAGCGAUGCGUUGAGCUAACCGGUACUAAUGAACCGUGAGGCUUAACCUUACAACGCCGAAG